rnacentral:lncRNA from 1 species
CCCCUUUCCAGUUCCCUCCUCCUUUCUCCUCCCUCAGAAGUCCUGCCCCAUGAGUUCCUCUGAGCAUGAACAGAAAGCUGUCUUGGGACUAUUAGACUCUUCCCAGGAAAGGGGGAAUGAGAAGCCGAGGGGGUGGGUCGAGGAGCCCUGGUGGUUCAGCAUGUCCAAGAUGUUGCAUUCGUUUCCCAGGCCUGAGUAUUCUUGGCAAUGACAGAGCCUAUAUAUUAGCCUUUAAAAGUAACAUUUUGCCUUUUGCCACAGCAUCUUGUGAGAAAAGCAGAGAAGAGCAGAGAAAAGCUGUUUUGGAUUUUUAGAAGACAAAAGGAGUUUUGGACAGUUUUGAGGCCUGGUUGAUUAUUGAAGCCUGGGGUGAUUUCACAGACAGGAUUUGCAUAUCCUGUCCCUACAUUGGAAGCCGCCCAGAGUGGCUGGGGAAG